UAGGGAAUAUUAGUAAUGGGCGCAAGCCUGAACUAGCAACGCCGCGUGUGCGAAGAAGGCCUUCGGGUUGUAAAGCACUUUUUGAGAGGAUGAGGAAGGACGGUACUCUCAGAAUAAGUCUCGGCUAACUACGUGCCAGCAGCCGCGGUAACACGUAGGAGGCGAACGUUAUCCGGAUUUACUGGGCGUAAAGCGCGUGUAGGUGGUUUGGUAAGUAGGGCGUGAAAGCUCCUGGCUCAACUGGGAGAGGCCGUUCUAAACUGCCGAACUAGAGGAUGGUAGAGGGAGGUGGAAUUCCGGGUGUAGCGGUGGAAUGCGCAGAUAUCCGGAGGAGCACCAGUGGCGAAAGCGGCCUCCUGGACCAUUCCUGACACUCAGACGCGAAAGCUAGGGCAGCAAACGG
rnacentral:rRNA from 1 species